CGACUGCGAAUUAAUGCGACCCGCAACACGUGAGUCAUCGAGUCUUUGAACGCAUAUUGCACCCGACGGGUUUACUUGUCGGGUCUGCCUGUCUGAGUAUCAAUACGGACCCAAUCAAUAAAUAAUAUUUGUUGUAUUGGUGCUCACCGAAUAUUAUUAUUUGGUGGAAAUGAGUGUUCAAUCACCUUGUGAUUGAUCAUUUGAAAUGUAUUGGUAUUGAUUAUAACGCAAGUUGUAAUCAACCAACGACUAGUGUUAUUAGAGUCGUAUAAACAUUGUUAAUCAUCUUUCAUUAGGUGUUCAUUGUUUAUUAUUCUAGUAUCAUAAACGGUCGAUGGAUUAAAUACCAACUAGCUAAUAUCAGUACUUAACCACUAUUGAUAUCUGCAUUACUCUUACCAUUCUUGAUCUCAGAUCAGGCAGGAUGACCCGCUGAACUUAAGCAUAUUAGUAAGCGGAGGAAAAGAAACUAACCAGGAUUCCCUUAGUAACGGCGAGUGAAGCGGGAAUAGCCCAAUCUGAAAAGCUAGUCUGCCCUGGAGCAGGUCUCGCAUUGUAGGUUGAUGAGGCGUUUCCUAGUGUUAAACCUUUCAAUUAAAGUUCCUUGGAACAGGACAUCAUAGAGGGUGAUAAUCCCGUGAUUGAUUGAACGACAUACCAGUUUAACACGUCUACGGAGCGUUUUCUUAGAGUCGGAAUGUUUGGGAUUGCAUUCCAAAGUGGGUGGUAAACUCCAUCUAAGGCUAAAUACUGGCGAGAGACCGAUAGCGAACAAGUACCGUGAGGGAAAGUUGAAAAGCACUCUGGAGAGAGAGUCAAACAGUACGUGAAAUUGCUAGCAGGGAAACGUUGGGCACCAGUACACGGCAAUCAAUGUUAAUGAUCAGUCGGUCGAUUGGUGAAUUGUAAUGCGGCGGUUAUCCCCUUAGGAGAUUGUCCUAUUAGCGGCGACUCACGUAUUACACUUUUGCUAAUUGGCCGGUGCACUCUUUAGCAGCCGGGUCAACAUCGGUUAAUGACGUUCGACAAGUCUGUAGACAAGGUAGCAUUAGUAGGUUCGCCUGCUUUUGAACUUAUAGGUCUAUAGUACGAGGAUGUUAUUGACCGAGGAUAUGCGAUUCGCGCGUUUCGGCGCAGGGCGUAUUGGUCGGGUGAAGGUCGCCCGUGGUGCUAAGCAGCUUGCUGAUUAGUAUUCAUUCUAUUACACUUUGUGUAAUAGCGGUGGUCGCCCGGCUAAUACAAGCCACUAGCGAGUCAAUGA
rnacentral:rRNA from 1 species